rnacentral:lncRNA from 1 species
AGCUGCCCGAAAGCCAGCAUAGACGGCUGUGAGCUGUGUGACAUGGGCAGUGGAGAGCAAACACAAGCUCUUUGAGCACUCUUAGCUGCUGAACCAACUCUCCAGCCCCCAAAGGAAAAUAUUAUUCAAAUAAAAAAGAAGGAAGGAAGGAGGGAGGGAGGGAGAGAGGAAGGGAUGGGAGGAAGAGAGAGAGGAAGGAAGGAGAGAUGGAGAGAAGGAGGAAGGGAGAGAAGGGGAGGAGGGAGGGAUGGGAGGAUGGAAGGAAUCAUUUAGCUUCCUUAUCAAGAAGGAAGAAAAAUCCAAACAUGAUGGCAUGUGUGUACUUAUAAUUCUAGCACCCAGAGACAGAGGCAGGAGAAAAGUAAGUUCCAGGUGAGCCUGGCUACAGCGGGGAACCCUGAGUCAAAACCCAUGUGAGUGAGCCAACAAACAAAGCUGGGAAAAAGAGAAAGAAUCAGGACAAUGGUACAUGGAAAGAAAUAGCAAUGAAGAUAGAAGCAAGAGUCCAGGACAAGAGAACAAACAGCUGCCUGGUAUAAGCCUGCAACAAUGUGGCAAGAAACAUGUUUAUUGGGAAGAGCAACAGAAGAAAGCCUAGUGGGUCAUUGAUUUAGAAAUCCAGAGAGAAGACACUAAUUCCAAAAUCAAUGGCUACAAAGUACAGUACUUCCAGAUCUCCAUUGUUGAAAGAAUUAUUAGCCCCAGGAAGCCAUCUGAGUUCACGCUAGUACUUGGAUUGCAAGCAUGGCACAGCACCUAGGAAGCCAUCUGUGGGUCCCCCCUCCCAGCACUGGCUUUGCAAACGUGUGCUACUGCACCUGGCAUUUCCUGGGGAUGCUAAGGCCUCAGACUCAACUCCUCAUGCUUGCAAGCAAGCUUGUCACUGACCAAGCCUCUGUCCAGCCUCUCUAAGUAACUUUUAAAGGAAUAAAGUAGAUCUACAUCAAACUUCCAUCACAUACACGUCAAGUCUCAGGAUGGGCUCCAUCCUGCUAACUUGAGGAUAAACGGAACAAACUGCUUCCCAUCUGGAUCUACCAUGCUAAAGAAAACCAGUCAUCAUUGCCACCAGCCUUGAGCUGAGCAUUUCUUCACAGCAGAAUCAACCUUCUGAAAGGGAGUACUCCCCUGUCAACACCUAAUCCCAUUUUCAGAGAGGCAGCCUCUGUUAUAAAUGUUCAUGCCACAGUAUCACAGGAUUCCCAGCUGAGAAGAGAUACACCUUACCAUAGCAACACAGCACUUCCACUACAGAAACAGGAUGACCAUAAGUGGUGUUAAGACUACAACAGUGAACUGGAGUACAUUCGUUAAAAAUGAUGUGUAGUGGUGGUGCAUGCCUUUAAUCCCAGCACUUGGGAGCCAGAGGCAGAGGCAAGCAGAUUUCUGAGUUCAAGGCCAGGCUGGUCUAUAGAAUGAGUUCCAGGACUGCCAGAGCUACACAGAGAAACCCUGUCUCAGAAAGAAGAAAAAGAAGAAGA